CCUGCCAAUCCAAAACCAACGACGAUUUUACAAAUUCAUUGCGGUGAGAUUGUGGCGGGCAAGAGGGCAAACGGAGAGUACCUUCGGCGGCGGCAAUUGAGUUUGAAUCUGAGUUAUAUCGGCCUCGAAAGGCCAUGAAUAUUUGUCUGGUUCUCCGAUUCUCGCCAAGCUCCAAUCGUACAUUCUUCUCUCUUCAACAGAUGAUAAUAUCAUGAGUUCGAGUUUUUGGUUCAGUUCUUCUUCCUCUAAUCCCUGGCUCUUUAGUUCUUCAACCUUGAUGUUGUAUGCAAUCGGAACCUGUAAUAAAUUAGAGCUGAUCAAGAUCAAGGAGGAUUUUCGCGGAAAUGGGGUUUUUAUUUUAGCGAAUUGAUUAAAUUACCUGAUCAUAUGGACAUCCUCUUCGGAGUCCGAGUCUUC